AUUGAACGCUGGCGGUAUGCUUAACACAUGCAAGUCGAACGAUGAGAAAGAGCUUGCUCUUUCGAUUAGUGGCGGACGGGUGCGUAACGCGUAGGAAUCUACCUAUUAGUGGGGGACAACUUAGGGAAACUUAAGCUAAUACCGCAUACGCCCUACGGGGGAAAGAAGGGGAUCGCAAGACCUUUUGCUAAUAGAUGAGCCUGCGUAGGAUUAGCUAGUUGGUGGGGUAAAAGCUCACCAAGGCGACGAUCCUUAACUGGUUUGAGAGAAUGAUCAGUCACACUGGAACUGAGACACGGUCCAAACUCCUACGGGAGGCAGUAGUGGGGAAUAUUGGACAAUGGGCGAAAGCCUGAUCCAGCAAUACCGCGUGUGUGAAGAAGGCCUUAGGGUUGUAAAGCACUUUCAAUUGGAAGGAAAACCUCGAAGCUAAUACCUUCGAGUUUGACAUUACCUUUAGAAGAAGCACCGGCUAACUCCGUGCCAGCAGCCGCGGUAACAC
rnacentral:rRNA from 1 species